AAGUCUUCUCCAGAAUAUAAAAUCUGUUCUUAAGAAAAUUUCACUCGAGGAUAAAUCACUGGCAAUAAACACCUUUUCCUUUGCAGAUGGUUUAUGAUCACUGACAUUGUGAAAUCUGACUAGCAGGAGGUUCUGUGAUUUCUGUCACAUCAGGAUUUACAACUGCGACAGCACUGGCUGUUAAUCUUUGGAAAUCAGAGUGACAUGAGAAAGGGAGCGCAACAUACAGCACAUAGGAGAAGUACAAUGAAAAGCAGUAAGCAAAAACAAACUAAUG